rnacentral:lncRNA from 1 species
CACAGAUUUGUCUUUGGAAUGUGAAAUAUGAUUUUUAUUUUCAGUAGCAGAUUUAUCCAAUUAUGUUAGACUUUGGUUAAUAUCAAAAUUAGUUUUCAUUUCUUGAGCACGCAGUGAUCGAAGAGAGGGAGCCAGAAACCUGCUGUGUGGCAUUGGAAAUUUCUGCAUGUAAACUAAAAACAAAGUAACUUUAGAGCCAAAGAAAGUUAAUUUUCUUUCACGGAGACAACUGAAAUGAAUUAGCUGAAACUUUAUGAGCAAAAGUAAUGGAAAAGUUUCCUUCCAAGAAGACAGUCCAGACUUUAAAAGGAGGCUUAAAGUCAUUGCUAAUAGGCGCAAGUGUGAAAUUUGAAAAAGGGGGUGUGUGGAGGAAGAAUGUUCCUACAUGACUUCGCUGUAUAUUUUCCAUUAAACUUAACCAAGCCUCAUCGCUCUCUAGUACACUGUCGUCCAACAAUCCGCUUUUCUAGGAGAGUGUGAUUGUGCCACAGAGUAAAUGGAAAUCCCUGAGAAAUGUUCCCCCUCCCCACCCCCGCCCGGGGAAUGGAUGGAUCGCUGGGGUGGAUGGGAAUGGAUGGAUAGAUGAAUGCGAACAGGUCUUUCUGACUUUUCUGGUAAACUUUUCCACCAUGAGAAGAAUGUAUGCAUGCCACUGCACGACUCUAAGGAAUGAGAGAACCCGCAACCCAAGGGAUUGAUUGCUUCUGGGACAAGUCUCUAAAGGGCCAAGGGCAGCCCCGGGAUUUUGCUCGCCGCUCACCUUUUGUCUUUAAACAAGAAAGCUUUGCCCUUUCCAGUGACACAGGCUGUUGCUAUUCUCAGCAGCCUAUCACCGGCCAGGGGUGGGCCAUCCUUCGGAAGUGUUGCUCUGGCCCUUAAGCAAAGACUUGGAGGUAGGGGUUAAUACACUUCUGCACGGAGGAGCUCGGACACAUUCCUUGGACCUUGGCUCUGAAUGCCUCUUGUAUCCCUGCACCUUUGGAAGAGACAGAGAGCAGACACAGGGAGGAUUUAAAUGCCAUGCCUAAAGCAAGGCAGAUGGUAUCAGAUCUUGCAGAAGAAGGAACUAGUUAUGCUAAGACAGACCAGGGAGGAAAGGAGUGUCGGAUUUUCACCAGGACUGUUAGUCCUGAGACACUGAGCACCUUAAAUAGAACACAAAAACCUACAUCCCAGUCCCGAAUCCAUGCCUAGUUUUUUUUUCCUCGUGGUGACAGAGAAGCCAUGUUCCAGAAUAAUAACUCCUUUACUGUAUUUGCACGCUCUUCAUUUAGUACAGUGCCUGGUACAUUGUAGAUGUUUAAUAAUUGCUUGUUGGUUGAUUAAUUUCUUUCCACAUCUCUCUCUCUCUUUUCCCUAGCUUCUCAUCAAGCAAGUUAAAACCCAGUAGUAAGAGUAUUGGAACUCAGAAAGCACAAGGAUUCUAGAGGAUUAAAAAAAAAUCCUGAUAAUAUCUUGAUGUCAGAUUAAAUCCAAGUAAUAACAAUCCAUUUGUAUCCAGUUACAUCCAGCUUAUUUAGAGGGAAAUCAAGAUGGAAAGGUCAAAAAUGACAUUUUAGAGAACUAUUGGUAAUGCCCCUGGGGUAGUGGGUGGAAGAUGGGGUGGAAUGGAGAAUGAAGGAAAAAGUAAAUUCACUUUAAGUCAAAAUGAAAACACACAGUUCAGUGCCGUGAACCCAAUUAGCCUUGACAUGUGUGGUAUGAUGAUGAAAAAAGCAGAAAAUAAGGGUAUAGAAAAAUCUGUAAUCAUUUUCGUGAGAUUUGUUUCUAGAUAUUUGAAUCUCCUGAGUAGCUCCAAAUUCUUCUGAGAUAAAUUGUUAUGAAAUAUGUUCCAUGAAAGUACUCUCUGGAGGCAGCAUGGUGCUGUGGAACAAAAAUA